GAUGAACGCUAGCGGCAGGCCUAAUACAUGCAAGUCGAACGGUGUAGCAAUACACAGUGGCGCACGGGUGCGUAACACGUAUGCAACCUACCUUACAUUGGGGGAUAGCCUUUCGAAAGGGAGAUUAAUACCGCAUAAGACAGUAACUGGGCAUCCAGUAGCUGUUAAAGAUUUAUCGAUGUAAGCUGGGCAUGCGUCCAAUUAGUUAGUUGGCGAGGUAAUGGCUCACCAAGACGAUGAUUGGUAGGGGAACUGAGAGGUCAAUCCCCCACACUGGCACUGAGAUACGGGCCAGACUCCUACGGGAGGCAGCAGUAGGGAAUAUUGGGCAAUGGGCGCAAGCCUGACCCAGCCAUGCCGCGUGCAGGAAGAAGGCGUUAUGCGUUGUAAACUGCUUUUAUACAGGAAGAAACGACCCUUGCGAGGGGCAUUGACGGUACUGUAUGAAUAAGCACCGGCUAACUCCGUGCCAGCAGCCGCCGUAAAAC
rnacentral:rRNA from 1 species